rnacentral:rRNA from 1 species
UACGAAGGGGGCAAGCGUUGUUCGGAUUUACUGGGCGUAAAGGGCGCGCAGGCGGCUAUCCAAGUCAGGCGUGAAAGCCCCGGGCUUAACCUGGGAGGUGCGUCUGGGACUGGGUGGCUAGAGAUCGGGAGAGGAGAGUGGAAUUCCCAGUGUAGAGGUGAAAUUCGUAGAUAUUGGGAAGAACACCGGUGGCGAAGGCGGCUCUCUGGACCGAUACUGACGCUGAGGCGCGAAAGCGCGGGGAGCAAACAGG